AUGCGCGUAGAGGGGAGUGUGAUUACCGAUCCUGCGGACGUUGGUGUUGGUGAAGAGGUACAUGAGGAGGUGGACGGUGCGGAGGCUGAAGCUCUGGUUGUAGCCGGAGAGCGCGGACUGCAGCUCCUUGUCGUCGAUGGUCCCGCUGCCGUCGCGGUCGGCGGCCUGGAAGCAGGCCACCACGUUGGGGUCCGUCCCCGGCGGGAACGCCGACGGCACGAGCGCGGCGAACGGGCUCCCGUAGCCGCCAGCGGCCCCAUACGGCGCUGCCGCGGGGGGCGGGGCCCCGUAGGGCGCCGACGAGGGAGGCGGGGCGCCGUAGGACUGGCCCGCGGGCGGAGCACCGUAGCCUCCGCCGCCGCCGUAGGACUGGGGCUGGCCGGCGGGCGGGGCCCCGUAGCCGCCGCCGCCGUAGGACUGGGGCUGGGAGGAGGGCGGGGCCCCGUAACCGCCCCCGUAGGACUGGGGCUGGGACGAGGGCGGGGCCCCGUAGCCGCCUCCGCCGCCGCUGGCGCCGUAGGUCUGGGGCGGGGAGGCGUAGUAGGGGGAGGAGGCCUUGCCUUCCUUGGGGGGCUUGUCGCCGUAGGGCGGGGCCGAGGGGGCGGGGGAGGAGCCGUAGGGCGGAGGGGCCCCGUAGCCUCCUCCUCCUCCUGCGGCGCCGCCGUAGGGGUAGCCGGACAUGGCCGGGCGAUCGCGCGGCGGCGGGGCUCGGGGAAUUGGGUGGGUGCGGGGAAUCGCGGCGAGGUGGUAUUCCUUGGGGAAGCUUUUCGAACGGUGAAGGCUGGCUGGCUGGCAGCAGGUGCGGGUCGCACCAGUUUUUAUGCGAUGAGGAUGGGGGAUCGGGGCAGCGGGCAGCGUGGAUUUGGUGACUCUCGACAAGUCACCACGCGCAGGCCAUGCGUAUCUUGGAUUGCGUGA
rnacentral:rRNA from 1 species